rnacentral:rRNA from 1 species
UACGGAGGGAGCUAGCGUUGUUCGGAUAUACUGGGCGUAAAGCGCACGUAGGCGGCGCCGCAAGUCAGGGGUGAAAUCCCGGAGCUCAACUCCGGAACUGCCCUUGAAACUGCAGUGCUAGAAUCUUGGAGAGGCGAGUGGAAUUCCGAGUGUAGAGGUGAAAUUCGUAGAUAUUCGGAAGAACACCAGUGGCGAAGGCGACUCGCUGGACAAGUAUUGACGCUGAGGUGCGAAAGCGUGGGGAGCAAACAGG